GUUUUUAUGGUACCCUAUACUGCUACUGGGGAGGGAGCAGUAUAUGUGUGAUCCCACCGUUGAUCACAAAGGGAUUUGCUCUGGUGACUGGUGGGCCAAUACUUCUGAACGACCAAGACACAAGCAGGUUGAGCCAUGCCUGGGUGAGCAUUCUAGCACACGAUGUGGUUGUCGACCUCACAGCAAAGGCAGAUGAGCAGCUCCACGUCCCGCGAGAUGCGGCCGAAGUAGAGGUUCCGCCACGCUCCGGCACUCACCAAGACGCAGCUCUUCGCGUCAAAAGACUGGCACAUCUUGCACAUCCUGGCCUCGUCGUCGACGGCGGCGAGCUCGUCCAUGGCGCAGGGUGGUUUGGCAUGCGCUGUCGCCAUGCACGAGGCACAAUAAGCGUGAUGCUAGGGUGAGGAUGGGGCGCACGGCGACGGGCCAUAACGUCAUAACCGCAGAAGCAUCAGUCCACGAUCACGACGGAUUAAGGGGAGGUUGCCCGGCCGGUAGGCGCACGGUCGAAGGGGAGACGAGCGUCCGGGGACGUCUGCCGGAGAUGCAGAGUCGCCGAAUAAUGAACUGCAAGCGCGUAUAUUGGUGGACG
rnacentral:rRNA from 1 species